CAUGUCAACAUAACCAAGUUGCAUGUCGACAUAAAUAAGUUGCAUGUCAACAUAAAUUAGUUGCAUGUUAACAUAUAUAAGUUGCAUGUCGACAUAAAUAAGUUGCAUGUCAACAUGUUUAUCUUGCAUGUCAACAUAUUUAUCUUGCAUGUUAACAUAAAUAAGUAGCAUUUAGCAUGUUGAAUGUCACAUGUGGGCGAUAUUUGAGAUUUUUGAAGAUUUUUUCAUAAUACUUAUUUGAUUGCAAUUUUCUUGCAUGUCAACAUAUUUAUGUUGCAUGUUGACAUAACUAUCUUGCAUGUCAACAUAUUUAUCUUGCAUGCCGACAUAUUUGAUAGAAAAAUAACUUGCAAACAAGGGGCAGAAAUAUGCCACCAUAAUAUUUAUAUACUGAAAUAUCCUACAAACCAAAAUGGCAGUUCAGCAAAAUUUUUGAUGAUCUCAAUAGAGGGCCAGGAGGGCUGUUAAAACAAUUCAUUAUUAGGCAUGUUUUAUUGUGGGAACAGUACAAAAAUACGUUAGGAACAAACGGUUAUUAAUAUUUUUAGAUGAAAGUCUUAAAAACAUGGAGAAAUAAAUCGAGAAACAACGCACUUAAAAAUUACGUGCGCAAUAAAUAUAGUUUUUUUUUUCAAUGGCACUGUAGCUCUCCGGUCUGUUAAUACAGCUCUGCAACAAUUUGAAAAUCUGAUGAUAUGUUCAGUCUCCUUUCUAUUAAUAAAUUUUUUACCCCCUUAUUAAAGGAGUUGUACAUAAGAACAAUUAACUUUUUGUCAUUGCUUUUUAGAAUAUUAAGUAUUAAUGAAUGGUUCUUUGCACUCAAACAAGUUUUUAAACAGCUACAUGUAGAUGGAAAAAGUGGAAGGGAAUUGAGAAUUUUAAAAUGUGCGUAGAUUUUACAAUUAUAAGAGAAUUUGGAGGAUUUAGGAAUUUUAAACUGAAAUUAGGCUGAAAAAAAAAAUCAGAUUUUCAAAUACUUACGAAAAUGGAUAAAUUGACCAAUAUAUUUUAUCUCUUUGUGUUAUAACGUUUCACAUGUACAGGUCUACGGGGGUGGGGGGCGGGGGUCACCCAUGUAUAAUUUUUACAGUCAUUUCAUGUAUAAACUAAACCAACUAAAACUGACCUUGGGCACCCCCCCCCCGAAAAAAAAUAAAAAAAAAUAAAUAAAUAUGCGUUAAGUUAAUGUGUAUGAAAGUCAUAGAUAUGAAGAUACAAAACAUAACUCCAACCCCAAGACGAAAAAUAAUUUUUCUCGUCUAGGAUAGGAAUGAGUUGGAUUAAGGUUUACUGGGGUGGAUCCCUCUUGGAAAAGAAUCCUGGAUCCAUGACUAUUUUUUUUUUUUUGGACAAUUCUAAAUAUUAACGUAAAUAUGAAAAUUUAAUUAUCCAAACAUGUGUGGCAUUUAGCAGCAAGCAGCUGAUAGUUUGCAGUAAGCUGCAGUCGCGGAUCAAGGAAUUGAAGUUAGAGGGGCGCCAAAAGUAGGCAAGGGGUCUGGGGAACGCCUUAAGCUAGGCCCCCAGUGCACAGGGCGAAGCCCCCGGAAGCGCCUGGGUUAUACAGAAUUUGUAGAGAAGAAUGAGGCCUACCGUAGACAUAUAAUUUACAUUUUCUAGAGGAAGCUGUGAUUUACGUUAACUUUGACAAUUUAAAGAGAGGGGGGGGGGGGGCGCCGGCUGAGAGCAGUUAAAAUUCUCAAAAAUAAAAUUAAAAAAAAAAAUCAAUGGGCCCUAUAUCCCGUACAUGUAAUUAAAUAAAGAUGAUUACAUUAAAUUUUUUCAUCGUAUCUUAUGCUACAUACAUAUAUGACAUGUAGAUGUAUAUAUAGAGUGUACUUUAGCCAUGCUAGCAAGUUAUAUGCAUCGGGAUCGGAAUUUGAAAACAAUGGCGAACGUGAUGAAGAUGUUCAUGUCAGACAUGUGCUUCUGCUUGGGCUAUUCAAUGUUGUCGUAUAUGGAUGAUGGAUAUUUGUGUUUUAUGUUUCUAUCGCUUGACAAAGGAAUUCUAGUGUGUUCUAAAUAAGCAGAUAUUUGUGAUGCCAGAUAUCGUCUCGGCUGAUACCAGGAUACAUACAUAUAAAAUCUGCCGUAGUACUUGGACCCUCACUGAGUGUGGCUUUUGUUCGUCAACUUGGGAUGAACAUGAUGAAGGCCUCUGAGAUUAAAAUAAAAGUGACACCAUCUAAAAAUCAUUGCAUUUUAAGCAUACACUCUGAAAUACGCUGAAUAAGGAACCCACACUCCUCUUGACCAAACAAAGGAUAAUGAUACUUCAAGAACUUACACUGGGGAUCACAAAUUAUGGGCACAACACAUUGAAGAACUACUGGUGUAUUUGGAUUUAUAAGUCAUUUAGAUAUGAUGGAAUACUUGGCAACAUUGUAUAUGCAAUGGUUGCAAAGAAAAAGAACACAAACAAAGUGGACAGACAGACAGACAGCAGCAAAGCAAUUUGCCCUCCCUUCUUCCAAGGGGGGCAUAAUAAAUUAAGAAUAAGUAUAUGAAUGCUGGGAAGUGCAAAGAUGUGAAAUAUAUAGGCCUUUCAACUAAUUUUUCAUGUUGCACAUCUGGUUCAAAACAUAGUAUUGAUUAAUUUAUGGGUAUAUGAAAUUAUCAAAAAUGAUAACUUAUGCAUACUUUUAAUUAUUAAAAUGAUUAAUCAUCUUAUUUGACUUUUCUGAUAUUAUGUUUUAAGGACAGGUAACUCAGGUGUGAAAAAUGAACAAGUAAGUGCCGAUUUAUGAGUUAUCAUUUAUAGGAACGACAUAUAGGCUGCUUCAGAACUAGUAUUGUUAUGUAAACAAAAGGGUUCCUUACAUUGUUUUGUACACAAAAGAGUUGACCAAGAGAAAGAGAAUGCAUUCAUUCUACCUGAAUUGACAGGGUCAAAUGAAUGAGGAACAGACUAUAUUCAACAUUUUUAACUCUCUUUGAUGAUUAUUAUGAUUGAAGAAGAAAUUUUUAUGUCCUGUUUUUAUGUUCACACUUUUUCGCUUCCUAUAUAAAUACACAUGUAUAUAAACUUUUACAGGUAAAUGCAAGAAUUGAUCAUCUUAUUUGUGUUACUAAGCACAAAUGGGAACCAUCGAGUAUAAAAAAAUAUAUAAGUGACCGGAACCCUAGGCUAUUGAUCGGUCUACCGAGUACUACAGGACAGGUAAGUGACCAGAACCCUAGACAUAUUAAUAUGGUCUACCGAGUACAACAGGACAAGUAAGAGUCCAGUACCUAAUAGGCUAUUGAUACAGUCUAGAGAGUACUACAGGACAGGUAUGAGAUCAGUACCCUAGGCUAUUGAUACGGUCUACUGAGUACUGCAAGACAGCUUAGAGUCCAUAACCCAAGGCUAUUGAUACUGUCUACCGAGUACUACAGGACAGUUAAGUGACCAGAACCCUAGGCUUUGAAUACAGUCUUUUGAAUACUACAGGACAGGUAAGAGUCCAAUACCCUAGGCUAUUGAUGCAGUCUACCAAGUACUACAGGACAGGUAGGAGAUCAGUACCCUAGGCUAUUGAUACUGUCUACAGACUACUACAAGAUAGGUAAGUGACCAGAACCCUAGGCUAUUGAUACCGUCUACCAAGUACUACAGGACAGGUAGGAGAUCAGUACCCUAGGCUAUUGAUACGGUCCACUGCAUACUACAUGACAGGUAAGUGACCAGAAGCCUAGGCUAUUGAUAUGGUCUGACAAGUAAAACAGGACAAGUAAUAGUUGAGUACCCUAGGCUAUUGAUAAAGACUACCGAGUACUACAAGACAGUUAAGAGUCAAAUACCCUAGGCUAUUGAUACCAUCUACUGAGUUUUACAGGACAGGUAAGAAAUCAGAACACAAUAAGCUAUUGAUAUGGUCAACUAAGUUCUACAAGACAGGCAAGAGUCCAAUACCGUAGCCUAUUGAUACUGUCUACCGAGUACUACAGGACAGGUAAGAGCCCAGUAUCCUAGGCUUUGAUACGGUUUACCGAGUACUACAGGACAGGUAAGUGACCAGAACCCUAGACUAUUGAUACAGUCUACUGAGUAGUACAGGACAGGUAAGUGAAGAGUACCCUAGGCCAUUGAAAUGGUCUACUGAAUACUAUAUUACAGGUCAGAGUCAAAUACCCUUGGCUAUUGAUAGGGUCUACCGAUUACUAUAGGACAGGUAAGGGAUUAGUUCCUUAGGCUAUUGAUACGGUCUACCGAGUACUAUAAUACAGGUAAGAGUCCAAUACCCUAGGCUAUUGAUAAAGUCUACCGAGUACUACAGAACAUGUAAAAGUCCAGUACCCUAGGCUAUUGAUACCGUCUACCCAGAACUACAGGACAGGUAAGUGACCAGAACCCUAUGGUAUUGAUACAGUCUACUGAUUACACUGGACAGAAAGUGACCAAUACCGUAGACUAUUAAUACUGUCUACCUUCUACUACAAGACAGGAAAGUGAACAGAACCUUAUCCUAUUGAUAUUGUCUACCAAGUACUACAGAACACGUAAGAGUCCAGUACCCUAGGCUAUUGAUACGGUCUACCUAUUACUACAUGACAGGUAAGUGACCAAAACCCUAAGUUAUUGAUACAGUCUAUUGAGUACUAUUGAUAUGGACUAACGAGUACAACGGAACAAGGAAUAGUUCAUUACCCUAGGCUAUUGAUACAGUCUAACAUGUUAUACAGGACAGGUAGGAGAUCAGUACCCUAGGCUAUUGAUAUGAUCUACCGAGUACUACAGGACAGGUAAGUGACCAGAAC